AAAACGACACUUAAUAUGAAACAGAUGGAGUAUCUUCCAAUAGAAAACAAUAAGUAUGAGAUAAUAAGUCAAUAAAAAAGGACAAAGGAGGGCUGAAUAAGGGAAAGCAGCAAGAUGAGGAUCAACUUAAUGUGUCGGUGCCGCACGCCCAACGUACGUUAUCGUAUCAGCAAUUUGUCAACACUAGGUGACGGGUAGGUACAUAUAUAAAUAAUGGAUUGUGAAGUUAGUAUAAGUCAAACAAGAACAAAUUUAUCUGUGGGUGCUGGGUGGUGGCAUGGUCCCUAACUUUGGAAAAAAAACUGUGCAAAAUUAAAUCUGAUAAAAAAAAGUUGUAAUUUGAGAAAGAAAAAAAAACAUCGAUGCCUUAAUUCUUCU
rnacentral:lncRNA from 1 species